rnacentral:rRNA from 1 species
GACGAACGCUGGCGGCGUGCCUAAUACAUGCAAGUAGAACGCUGAAGGAGGAGCUUGCUUCUCUGGAUGAGUUGCGAACGGGUGAGUAACGCGUAGGUAACCUGCCUGGUAGCGGGGGAUAACUAUUGGAAACGAUAGCUAAUACCGCAUAAUAGUAGAUGUUGCAUGACAUUUGCUUAAAAGGUGCAAUUGCAUCACUACCAGAUGGACCUGCGUUGUAUUAGCUAGUUGGUGAGGUAACGGCUCACCAAGGCAACGAUACAUAGCCGACCUGAGAGGGUGAUCGGCCACAAUGGGAAUGAGAAACGGCCCAGACUUCUACGGGAGGCAGCCGUAGGGAAUCUUCGGAAAUGGACGGAAGGCUGACCGAGCAACGCCGCGUGAGGGAAGAAGGGUUUCGGAUCGUAAAGCUCUGUUGUAAGAGAAGAAAGAGUGUGAGAGUGGAAAGUUCACACUGUGACGGUAUCUUACCAGAAAGGGACGGCUAACUACGUG